UACGUAGGUGACAAGCGUUGUCCGGAUUUACUGGGCGUAAAGUGUGCGCAGGCGGCAAAGCAAGUCGAGUGUGAAAGCCCCGGGCUUAACUUGGGAAUUGCGCUCGAAACUACUUUGCUGGAGUGUGGCAGAGGAAGGUGGAAUUCCACGUGUAGCGGUGAAAUGCGUAGAGAUGUGGAGGAACACCAAUGGCGAAGGCAGCCUUCUGGGCCAACACUGACGCUCAUGCACGAAAGCGUGGGGAGCAAACAGG
rnacentral:rRNA from 1 species